rnacentral:rRNA from 1 species
UACGGGGGGGGCAAGCGUUGUUCGGAAUUACUGGGCGUAAAGGGCGCGUAGGCGGUUGGAUAAGUCAGCUGUGAAAACCACGGGCUUAACUCGUGGCCUGCAGUUGAGACUGUCUGGCUUGAGUGUGGGAGAGGAGAGUGGAAUUCCUGGUGUAGCGGUGAAAUGCGUAGAUAUCAGGAGGAACACCGGUGGCGAAGGCGGCUCUCUGAACCACAACUGACGCUGAGGCGCGAAAGCUAGGGGAGCAAACAGG